CAUCCGAGGCCUGCAGCCGGGCGGUAGGGGGAGAAAACGGUGCUUGAUUUCCGGCUUGGAGGACAGGUGACCUGGGACAGGUGGCGAGAAAGGCAGGCCAGGUGUGGGGACGUCGGCCGGGGCAAGUGAGCGUGGGGCUGCUGCUGGGACCCAGCUCUGGUGCCACCGCGGAGCUGACCCAGGCCUCAGAGGAGGAAGGGAGCUGUCCAAGGCCACGGCGGCGGAGGUCACCCGGUCAAAAGCGCUCCGCCUACCACCGAGGACAGCGUUGUCCCCCACCCUUCCCUGUGCUUCACCCCAGUCCUUCCCGCUGUGGGCAGGGCCAAACCGGGCUGGGCUGGGUUCGCUGUCCUGGGCUUUAACCUCUAGAGCCUUCUGAGGACCCGCCACUUCCAGGAACACAGGCAGAACCCGGCUGGCUACUUUGCAGGUUUUUUGGUUUUUGGUUUUUGUUUUGCAUAUGGAGGCUCCCAGGCUAGGGGUCCAAUCAGAGCUGUAGCUGCCAGCCUACACCACAGCCACAGCAACGCCAGAUCCAAGCCACAUCUACGACCAACACCACAGCUCAUGGCAACACUGGAUCCUUAACCCACUGAGCGAGGCCAGGGAUCAAACCCGCAUGUUCCUAGUCAGAUUCGUUUCUGCUGAGCCACGUUGGAAACUCCAGUGAAGCUAUUCUUUCUUCCCUGGAGGAAGAUGCCAGCCUUUGCUACUUCCAUGAAGAAGCAGCACAGCAGGGGGCCAGGCACCCAGGCUCAGAAGCUGGUCCUGCCAUUUACCAGCCGUUGCCUCACUUCUAGGAGCCUCAGUUUGCUCUUCUGAAAGAGGGGCCAUUCCUGUCCCUGUCUCUUUGGAUUCUCAGCAGGUUGGUCUGUAAAGAGCCAAGAGCAGGUACUUAGGGUGUCUGCAGUCUUUGCUGUGAAGCCUGGGCGUCCUCCUUGGAGCCCCUCCCAUGCCUCCUCCCUGACUUCCUGGUCCAGCCUCCACCCCAGGCAGCGAGCAAUUCCCUCCAGUAGUGCUGUAGGCUCUGGGAGAGGAAAUCUGGAAAUCCUAGCUCAAAGGCUCCAAAGGGCCCUUUAUCCCCAAGGCACUGGGGAGCCAUGGAAGGCUUCUAAGCAAGAGAGAGCUGUGGUCAGAGCCAGCCUUUGUGAAAACGCUUCUGGAAGCCAGUGGAGGAGGGGCCGCCAGCAGGUUCAGUGGCUGAUGGUUUGAAUCCCCACCGUCACAGCAUGUGCUACAAAGCAACGAUCAGCAAACCACAGCCUGUGGGCCAAGUCCAGCCUGUCACUUGUUUUUAUAAAUAAUGCUUUUCUGGGAGUUCCCAUUGUGGCUCAGUGGUUAAGGAACCUGACUGGUAUCCAUGAGGACGCGGGUUGGAUCCCUGGCCUCGCUUAGCGGAUUAAGGAUCCAGUGUUGCCGUGAGCUGUGCUGUAGGUCGAAGAUGCGACUCGGAUCCCGUGUUGCUGGGGUUGUGGUAUAGGCCAGCAGCUGUAGCUCUGAUUUGACCCCUCGCCUGGGAACCUCCAUACGCUGCUGGUGCAGCCCUGAAAAAGACAAAACAAGACAAAACAAAAAGUGAUGCUUUUCUCGUGCACACAUUGUCUAUGGCUAUUUUCAUGCCGUAACAGUAGAGGCAGGGACUAUGGGAUAUGCAAAACAUAAAAUACUUUUUAAAUUAAAAUUUAGUUGAUUUUCAAUGCUGUGCCAAUUUCUGCCUUAAAGCAAAGUGACCCAGUCAUCCAUAUACAUAUAUACAUUCUUUUUCUCAUAUUAUCUUCCAUCAUGUUCUAUCCCAAGAGAUUGGAUAUAGUUCCCUGUGCUGGACAGUAGGACCUCAUUGCUUAUCCAUUCUAAACAUGCAAAAUCUAAAAUAUUUACUUGUGGCUCUUUGCAGAAAAAGCUCCCCUGCUCGCAAGAAAGGAUAAGACAUUGUCUCUCCCAGUUUUGGUGUAAAACACCCUGAAGGAAUUCUCUGAUUGGUCCUGGAUGAGUCAUGUGAUGACACCUGAUCAGGAAUGGAGAGUUGACAGCCACUGCAGGUGACAUGUCCACACCCGGUGGCUGCCCCUCUAGGGACCCAUGAGCAGAGUGGAGCCAGAGCAGAGACACAUGGGGGUGGGGAUCAAGGGACAGUGCUGGGCAAACAUAAGACCGUCCAGCAAAGGGACAAUGGCCUUCGUCUGGUGCACCUGUUGAAGAUGUAUCAGGACAC
rnacentral:lncRNA from 1 species